GUUUCUAUGGAUGCUGUGAGAGUGGUGCUAACUGCACGCCGAACGGAUAAUGAGGUGCAAUGGAGUCCCUGGGAGCAAAAGGAAGAGAAAACGUCCAUUUGGAGCGAAAAUGGAAAAAAGAUUAAUUCCCAGGCUAAUGUUGCGCAAGAAGGACUGAAGGAUGAACUGUUGGUUUUCUGAGAUUGACAGGCUAAACAGUACACAGAUAACCCUUAUCAGAGUUCUGGGUGCCUGUGGUACUUCUUAUCACUACCACACCCUAGAAUUCAGAAGGGAAUUCAUUUCUCAAUCAUUAUCAUUUUCCAACUCAAUAGAGCCAUGGCGGCAGUGAUAUUCAGAGGAAGAGAGUCUCAGAGAAUGAGAGAAGAAAUCGAUGAUGAAGAUAAACGGGAAACAAGUGAGACAGAGAUGCUUCUGAUCUAUAAAGAGUUUGUGGUUGUUGUCAGUAGAUGUAUGUUAUGACUACAGGGAAUGUUGGUAUGGCAGUGAAGAAGAAGAUUUGAAUUGAAUCUAAGUUUGAGCUUCUGUGAUUUGGGAUUUGAAGAAGCUACAGAAAGUGAAGAGACUCUAGGGUUUGGUGAAUCUGAAACUUCAGUUCAAGUCUUGAGAUGUUGAUCAGGGUGUUAGUCCUCAAGGGAGUUGGGGGAGUUGGGUGUAGUUUGGUUUUUUCCUGUUAGUCAUGAGGGAGUUCAAAGAAGUCUCUCGAAAUCUCUGUUAGUCGUGGGAGAGUUUAGAAGAGUCUCCCAAACUCCCUAGAAAACCCUGUUAGUCGUGGGGGAGUUUGAAAGAAACUCUCAAACUCCCUGUUAGUUGUUAAAAUUAGAAUGCUAGGGAGUUGGUGUUUUUGGGGGAGUUCUAGGGAGUUUAUAGUGUAUUUUUUCCUCACUCCAAAUCUCUCAAAAAAGUAGAGAUUUCUGGAGAGUCUUUCAAACUCCCCACACUCAAAACACCAAACUCUCUCAAACUCCCCACACUCUCUUACACUCCCUCAGAAUCCCCAAGAUUCAAAAUACAUUAAACUCCCCCAAACUUAUUCGUGGACUAACCCCUGGGAUGAUGAUGUUGGAGUUGAGAGAUUGAUGUGCUGUGUUGGAUUACUGAAUACAAAGAGUUGGAAUGAAUGUUGGAUCUCAAAUGGAGGAAAAGAAAUGUGAUGAUGUUAGGUUUGUUGCAGGCGCUCAGAAGAUGUUGGAUAAGAUGUUGUUGUUGAUAUUCAUGGGUGUUGCAGGCAGUGCUGGUGGUGCAGAGAAUAUGACAGUGAGUUAUGGAAGUAAUGGAGAAGCUCAUUGCUGCCAUGAAAAUGAAAUGGGUUUGUUGGUGUUGAACUGAAGCAACUAAUUGAAGUUGUAGCUGGGUUAAUUGGUGCUUGCAGGGUGAAGUAAUGAGCUGAAAUGCAGAGACAAAUGACAAGAAAUUGAAGUUGUGAUGGAGUUGAAUCUAGUGAAUGCAGUGAGUGGUAUGAUGUAUUGCAGAUGAUAAUGGAAACAUGGUUGUGAAGAGUUUCAGAGACGGUGAAGAUGAACCGAAGGAUUUGGUGGUUUAAUUGGGUUGUAGUUACAAGAUCUGGUGACUUGGAGCUGCAAUUGAAGCUUGAUGGGUUGAUGUUGAUGUCGGUCUGAUGAUUGCAGGAGCAGCUGUAAUAUGUUGGUACUGAGAAUGGAUGUGUGCUGCUAGGCAGAUUCACAAUUCAGAUGAACGUGCAGUUGGUGAAAAUGAGUUAUGGAGCUGUUGCUGGUGCUAUGGUUUGUGCUGAGUUGCUCGAGUGUUCAUGAUGCAGAGAUGGGUAUUUUUUCUUGGUGGUUGGCAGUGACAGAUGAGUUGAGCUUGAAGCUGUGGAAGCUGGAUAGUGUGCAACUGUUGUAGUGGUGGUUGUAUGAGAUGGUAAUGGAAGAAUGGCUUGGGUCAGUGUUCGCAGUCACAAGGAAUGGAAGAAAUUGUUCUUUCUAAUAGAGCUGAUAGAAUUCGCAUUUGAUGGUGGUAACUGCAAUGGAUUGGAGUUGGAUUUGCUGUAAUAGUGUGGUUGUUUGGCUGCGACUCAAGAGUAUGCAGGAAUGCGAAAGAGGAGCUAGAAUGGUUGAGCUUGAGCUGGUGGUAUCAACAAGGAAGUUAAGGAAUUACAGGGAAUAGCUAAUGCAGACAAGAUAAAAGAGCUUGGCAGUGAUGGCCUUGUUGCAGCUGCUGUGUUGUAUGUAGGAUUGGGAAGUAUGAUGUUAAUGCUGGAAAUGCUUAGAACAUAGAUUGUGCAGUUGAGAACAAAGCCAAGGAAUUGAGUGAGCUGUAUGAAAUAAGUACAAGAAUGAGUUGAUGACUGUGCAAGGUUGUGCUGAAGGUUUUGAGUUGAGAAAUGAGGAAAGAUUUGGUAGUUGAUAGUGAAGCAAGCUGUUGUUGGUGCUGAGAUAUCACGACAGUGGACUGGCUAAUGAAUAACAAUUACAACUAGGCAUGAUGCAGCUGGAGGUGUUGUUUGCUGAAGCUAGCAAGAGAAGUUAGCUGAUGAUGGUGAAGUUGCUGAGAGUAUGAGGCUGAUGGUGCAACACAAGCUCUAGCCUGUGGAAGAUGGCUUUGGCCUAGAACCAAGUCAGUUGAGUUAUCCAUGAGUUAUACCCUGACUCAACUAGUCGACUCGUCCUUAACUCAGUUGAUUCACCUUGACUCGGUCUGACUUCUGAGCUGACCCGUUUGAACAGUUUUGACCGGUGGCUUUUACAGUCACCUGAGAUGACUUUCCCGGUCAAAUUCAGGCCGGUGACCCCAGUUUUCCGGCGAAUACUUUUUGGCAAGAAUUUUAUUGGGUCAUUUAUACACAUUGUUUUAUGGGCUUGGUGGACUUUUUGGUAAUGGACUUUUGGAGAUUGGACCUAAUUUUAGAAGUUGGAGAAAAGCUACAAAAGGAAAGUUUUCUACAACUUUGGAAAGGAGGUAUUUUUCUACUUGGAGUUUUGGAGGAGACCGGUGAUUCUACUAGUGUUUGCUUUCGUUUAUUUUUCAUCUUCUUCAUUUUCAUUUUUGAUUAUGAUUAUGAUGAACUCAAAAGCUAUGAGAACCAAAAUAUAAUUAUUGGUUAUGGGAUAAAGUAGAUUUCACAAA